rnacentral:rRNA from 1 species
UAACGCGUGGAUAACCUGCCUCACACUGGGGGAUAACAGUUAGAAAUGACUGCUAAUACCGCAUAAGCGCACAGUACCACAUGGUACAGUGUGAAAAACUCCGGUGGUAUGAGAUGGACCCGCGUCUGAUUAGCUAGUUGGUGAGGUAACGGCCCACCAAGGCAACGAUCAGUAGCCGACCUGAGAGGGUGACCGGCCACAUUGGGACUGAGACACGGCCCAG